UACGUAGGCAGCAAGCGUUGUUCGGAGUUACUGGGCGUAAAGAGUGCGUAGGUGGUGCCCUAAGUCUGUUGUGAAAUCUCCCGGCUUAACUGGGAGGGUGCGCCGAAGACUGGAAGGCUUGAGUAUGGGAGAGGUAAGCGGAAUUCCUGGUGUAGCGGUGAAAUGCGUAGAUAUCAGGAGGAACACCUGCGGUGUAGACGGCUUACUGGACCAUCACUGACGCUGAGGCACGAAAGCGUGGGUAGCAAACAGG
rnacentral:rRNA from 1 species